CGGAGUUAAGCACGGCUAGAGCAGGGGCUGUGUUUCAAGUGAGAAGUAUUAUCGCUUUCCUAUAAUAACAAUGGUGCGGAGCGUGGGGAGAGCUUGGAAAAACAGUUCGCAUUAACCUAGUCUGACUUCUCCUCCUGGUCCGGGACGCGUCGAGAAAUCCAGUCUGGAGACGGGAAAACCUCUGACCACUGACCAACCGAGUCUCCAUCUUGCCAAAAGAGACGAGGCGGAAGAAAUGAAUUAGGUGGGCAAGAGAGUAUCCAUCUGUGCAUGCGUGUGUUUGCGUGUUCUUCUUGGAUGUGAGUGCAGCAUUGAGUCAUAUCCACUACUGUUUGUUCCAGACACCAAAAUGUUGGCCUCAAAAUUACCGACGCACUAUUUUUUUAUUUUUAUCAGAGAGUGCAUGGGGAAAUCUGCAAAUGAAUCAUUGGCACGUUGACAUCAGACCAUAGAUUCUUCUCGGCUCUGUCCACAGACUUCUAAUGUCUCGUAGUUUUUCAUAGCUUUCAUUGCAGUAACAACACAAGCCUAAUUUAAGAGAUGCAAAGCUGGCAGGGUGAGCUCAGUUUUUUUGGUUUAUCUGGAAAAGAAGCUCCACCGCAUGCAGUGAUUAACCUCCCGUCUCAAACACAGAUGUGCGUGCAGCUGACCAAACUCCAUCACAAACCCUCUCCGCACGGGUGAGUUAUGGCCAGCUUUGAGAGGGGUUGUGGGAACCGGAGAAAGAUGGACAGGCAGGAACACCAAACAGUGGACUUCAGUGAAGAACUGGGUAGAGUCGCACCAGCCAUUUAGCCUCCUGACAUCCAGCAGUGGGGUUUGAGAUGCAGAGGGCAGGGGCUGCUUCUCCUGGUGCUCCGGGGUCAGGUAAGGUAGCAUAGGGGUCUGCUUGGGGUCACAAGGCCCCAGCAGGAGAGCCUGAGAGUGGGCAGACUGUAUGUGGAUUUAGGACCUGAGGACCAGAACCAUCCACGUACCACCAAUUAAGCCCGACUCUGCCCCGCUGAUGCGGGACACCACCGGGCCGGGUCUUGGGCCCCUUCUUGUUUAUGCAUUUGCAUUGUUCCCAGAUGUGUAACUAGGCAAUUGUGCUGGGCCAUAAAACAGCAUGGCUGCUUAAAAGGAUUUGAAAGGGAAAAAGAGGCAAGCUAGUCUAUACAUUUACCUCAACUGUGUCAAUCUCUCACAAACACUAUUAUAACCUUAAACUAGCAGAAUGAGGAGCAAAACCACAGCUCCUACUGAGUUCGCAAAAGAGUUAGUAAAGGAGGGAGGAUAAAACCUUAAAAAAGGACAACAAGAGGGAAAGAAAAUUAAUGACUCUUCACAUAUUGCCUGUGUUUCUUUUGUGGAGACCAACAAAAGACAAGCAGGUUUGAGAGGAUGUGGGGCUUGGGAGCCAGUGGAUAUCGGGCCUGUAAAUUCCACCAAACAUUAAUAACUUCAUUACAUAGCAAUUACCAGCCAGAGGUGGGGGAACGGAGUAUCCCACUUCAACAUGCAUUUGUCCAAGACUCAGCACUUCUGGGCCUUCUCCUUAUCUCUCUCACCCCCUCUUUCUUUACCCAUCUUUCUUUCUGUCUCCUAAAGGCAGAAAGGUCAAACCAUUACAUCGUCUGAAUGAAAUGUUCCUGGCUUCCUCUGAUCUAUAGGCGACUGGCCUGGAAGCCACUGGUAUUGUUCAGGUGUGUAAUAAUUAAUGCAGCACUAGAAUGACUCUCCUGGGAUGAACGGAGGGGUGGGAAUGCUGUCGAUUCCACACCCACUGAGGUCACAAACUGUCUCCGGAUCAAAAGGCCAAAACGGGAAGCCAAAGAGCAAUGCUACAAUACUCAGUUUACUUAUUUGCUACCAGUCUUAUUUGAAUUGAACACACUCUGUAAUUCCCUGGUAAAGCAUCUCUGUCUAUAUCUAUAAUUUAAUUGAUGUCAAAUAAAUGGCUGCUAUUACAGUGCCAUAUUUCAAAACCACACUGUGAACCCACAUUAUACUUAUUUACUGAUUACAUAUUAUACAUUUACCACAUCUGAGUGUCAUUAUUUCCAGAGAAAUGAAAAGUUUGUGUGCCAUCAUUAAACAGUUGUGACUCCUAAAUAUAUAUUUAUAUAUUUAAUGAGUAUUUAAUCUAUUUGUUUCUUCUUAGACUUGUUAGCAAUGCAUACUUAGGUUGUUUAGUUUAUUCCAUUAUUUUGCAUGAUUCGUGCUGCCCUGAUGGCAAGUUGUGUUUGUAAUAUUCCACUCUGUCUAUAUAUGUUUAUUAAUCAUGGUUCAGCAGAGGAUAAAUUGCAGUAUAAUGAGCAUUUAUUGACAUUUCUUUUAUGGACACUUUUGUAUUAAGUCAUACAUGUAAUAAAAUAAGUGUGAUGCAUAAGGACGCACACAGACUGAAAUGAUAUGGGCAAGCAGAGACAUGAAACAGCAAUCAAGUCUUUGAUGUGAGCCUGGGGCAACAAGUCAACCUGAACCACCUUUACAAGGAACUAUUCAUAAUUGCUGCAUGUUCAUACAAAGACAUGCAUUGUUUCCUUCUCAGAUUCUCAAUUCGAAAAUACAUUCGCAUUAACACGUAUCCAAGUUUGACCUACUUUGUUUGAUAAAAUGAUCAUUUACUCAGGCCCUCCUCACAUCUGAGGCUGUCACUCUACGAGACUCAAAAUAUGGCAUCGUCUAAAUGUGUUUAUUGUUCUGUUGCAAACAGCUUAAGGUGUUAAACAACCCGAGCAAAUUGAUUUUUGACCAAGAUAAACAUUUCCACUGUGCUUUUUUCUUAAUUCCAGGAAGCUGGUGCUCAAUAAUCAACCCCUGUCACCGUUGAUGGAAGACAUCUGGAUUCACACAAUACAGCGUGUUAAACAUCAAACUGUGGUGUGAAAGAAACAUCUCUGCUCUCUUACUCUCUGACUGUGAUUCCUUACAGAAGCUGCUGCUGGUGACACUUCCAAUGAAAUUCCAGCAGAAAUGAGCCUUACGAGGUACAGGCACUUGAAGACAAGAUAAUUAAGGACUCUGACAGCAUGAACACACAGUGGAG